rnacentral:rRNA from 1 species
CCUACGGGAGGCUGCAGUGGGGGAUAUUGGACAAUGGGGGGAACCCUGAUCCAGCGACGCCGCGUGCGUGAAGAAGUAUUUCGGUAUGUAAAGCUCUAUCAGUAGGGAAGAAAGGAAUGACGGUACCUGACUAAGAAGCCCCGGCUAACUACGUGCCAGCAGCCGCGGUAAUACGUAGGGGGCAAGCGUUAUCCGGAUUUACUGGGUGUAAAGGGAGCGUAGACGGUUACGCAAGUCUGGAGUGAAAGGCGGGGGCCCAACCCCCGGACUGCUUUGGAAACUGGAUAACUGGAGUGCAGGAAAGGUAAGUGGAAUUCCUAGGGUAGCGGUGAAAUGCGUAGAUAUUAGGAGGAACACCAGUGGCGAAGGCGGCUUACUGGACUGUAACUGACGUUGAGGCUCGAAAGCGUGGGGAGCAAACAGGAUUAGAUACCCGGGUAGUC